GUGAAUUGCUACUUGGCAAGCAGAAUCACACUGUUCUGAUCCCACAAAAAAACACAGAAGAAUGUGCAGCAAGAAUUGCAGUGAGGGAACAGAAGUCUAAGGUCAUAGAAUCUUAUGUGACAUGUGCAGAGUACCAAGCUAAGAUGUGUGGUGGAUUCUGUUCUCUGCUGUAUCAUAUAUGUGAUGGUCCACUGGUCACAAAAGCAAUGAAAAUAAGCAACAAGCUACUGCAGAUUUUGAGAAGGACUUAUGGAACCAGCAGAAAACCACAAAAUGCAGGCCCUUGGUUUUGUGGUCAAAGAUAGGAAAAGCAAAACAUAGUAAUUACUAAUGCCAGAUUGGUACACCCAUAUUUGGAUAUACUUUCUGAAAUAAUCUCUAGCUGAUAGCAAUGUAGUUAUUCAGCUAUUUAUUUGAAUUCUCCAAACAUUUCCUAAUAUUGCCUCUUUAGUUGACUAAUAUAUUAAUACAAAUUCAACCCCA